UGUGAUCUUCUAUAAUAUCGACAUCGUUAUUAUAAUGCGGUUAUCGAAUCUACGCCACAAGAGGAUUUUAAACUUGCGUGCGCUUGUGUGUGUUACAAUACACGCAAAGCUCGCAUUGAGUUGUCUCACGAGACAUAAACACGCGCUGUCGGGGGUAAUGACAUCGUUGAAUUUCAUGUGAGAUACAUGUCGUGCGCUGGUGUGUGUUAGCACACAUGCAAAGCAUAAUCAAUGACGUCACACGGCGUGAAGCAAACGCGUCGUGCGCUGCGUUGUGUGCGUUGUGUGCUGGUGUGUGUGACCAUACAAAGAAAGCUUUACAUCAGCGCGCCGUGGCCACUGGUGGAACCGACUGUUUCUUUGACGAAAGCUAACCGCGUACAAAAUGGCGCAAAAUGUCACGAAUUUAUCAUGCAUCAAGUUAUAUUUUCUUUAGUAUAAUAAUUACAUUCGUUUAGUUAAGCAACUUGUUUAUGAUAAUUGUAGAAAAGUGUAGAAAAAUGACACUUGCAUUAUAUCCUGGGAUGAAGAAACGUUAUUUUAUGUCGAUUUCUUUAGAUGACAAAGGAGGUAACCAAAUAGCAUA